rnacentral:misc_RNA from 1 species
GAUGAAGAACGUAGCGAAAUGCGAUAAGUAAUGUGAAUUGCAGAAUUCAGUGAAUCAUCGAAUCUUUGAACGCACAUUGCGCCCCUUGGUAUUCCGGGGGGCAUGCCUGUUCGAGCGUCAUUAUAACCCCUCAAGCUCAGCUUGGUGUUGGGGCCUGCCGACUGGCAGCCCUUAAAAUCAGUGGCGGCGCCAUCUGGCUCUAAGCGUAGUAAUUUCUCUCGCUAUAGAGUCCCGGUGGAUGCUUGCCAGCAACCCCCAACUUUCUAUGGUUGACCUGGAUCAGGUAGGGAUACCCGCUGAACUUAAGCAUAUCAAUAAGCGGAGGA